UUACCGGCUUGACAUUGAUGAAAGUAAGAGUGUGACAGGUGCUGCAUGGUUGUCGUCAGNUCGUGUCGUGAGAUGUUGGCUUAAGUGCCGCAACGAGCGCAGCCCUGUGUUAGUUACUCGAGAGUCUCUAACAGACUGCCUCGUUAAAGAGGAGGAAGGUGGGGAUGACGUCAAAUCAGUAUGGCCCUUACGCCGGGCUGCACACGUGCUACAAUGCGGUACAAGGGGCACCGCGAGGGGAGCAAUCCCAAAACCANCCCAGUUCAGAUUGGAGUCUGCAACUCGACUCCAUGAAGCCGGAAUCGCUAGUAAUGGCGAUCAGCACGCGCCGUGAAUACGUUCCCGGGCCUUGUACACACCGCCCGUCACAUCAUGGAAGCCCGUGACCGAA
rnacentral:rRNA from 1 species